AUUGAACGCUGGCGGCAGGCCUAACACAUGCAAGUCGAGCGGAGCGGCGGACGGGUGAGUAAUGCCUGGUAAUCUGCCUGGUAGUUGGGGAUCAAGUCCGGAUACGGGCGCUAAUACCGCAUACUAUCAGAUGAGCCUGGGUGGGAUUAGCUAGUUGGUGGGGUAAAGGCCUACCAAGGCGACGAUCCGUAACUGGCCUGAGAGGAUGAUCAGUCACACUGGAACUGAGACACGGUCCAGACUCCUACGGGAGGCAGCAGUGGGGAAUAUUGGACAAUGGGCGAAAGCCUGAUCCAGCCAUGCCGCGUGUGUGAAGAAGGUCUUCGGAUUGUAAAGCACUUUAAGUUGGGAGGCGUUACCAACAGAAUAAGCACCGGCUAACUCCGUGCCAGCAGCCGCGGUAAUUC
rnacentral:rRNA from 1 species